rnacentral:miRNA from 1 species
UUGGCAUUGGAGAACUUCAUGA